rnacentral:rRNA from 1 species
UACAGAGGGGGCAAGCGUUAUUCGGAAUUAUUGGGCGUAAAGGGCGCGUAGGCGGCUUUUCAAGUGACGUGUGAAAUCCCUCGGCUUAACCGAGGAACUGCCUGUCAGACUGGAAGGCUUGAGACCGGGAGAGGUGAGUGGAAUUCCCAGUGUAGCGGUGAAAUGCGUAGAUAUUGGGAGGAACACCAGUGGCGAAGGCGGCUCACUGGACCGGAACUGACGCUGAGGCGCGAAAGCGUGGGGAGCAAACAGG